rnacentral:tRNA from 1 species
GGGUGUAGCUCAGUGGUAGAGUGUGUGCUUAGCAAAUGCAUGAAGUCCUGGGUUCAAUCCCCAGUACGUCCA